rnacentral:piRNA from 1 species
AGAGACCAGAGAAACAGAAUGCCAUUU